rnacentral:lncRNA from 1 species
AAAGAAGUGAAAUUUAAAUGGCCUGUUCCUGCCUUAACUGAUGACAUUACCUUGUGAAAUUCCGUUUCCUGGCUCAUCCUGGCUCAAAAAUCUCCCCCACUGAGCACCUUGUGACCCCUACUCCUGCCCGCCAGAGAACAACCCCCCUUUGACUGUAAUUUUCCUUUGCUUACCCAAAUCUUAUAAAACGGCCCCACUCCUAUCUCCCUUCACUCUCUUUUCGGACUCAGCCCGCCUGCACCCAGGUGAUUAAAAGCUUCAUUGCUCACACAAAGCCUGUUUGGUGGUCUCUUCACACGGACGCGAGUGAAGUUUCGUGCCGUGACUCGGAUCAGGGGACCUCCCUUGGGAGAUCAAUCCCCUGUCCUCCUGCUUUUUGCUCCAUGAGAAAGAUCCACCUACGACCUCGGGUCCUCAGACCGACCAGCCCAAGGAACAUCUCAGCAAUUUUAAAUCGGACAGAAAACUGCAACCCAAGAAGCUUCUACUUCUUGUCUUCUGGAACUCUAUCUGGGGUCUCUGAGUUGCUGAAAAGAAGCCUGACUACCCACCUACACAUGCUAGAGAACAUCUAGACACUCCAUUCCCACCAAUGUGUUAAACAUUGAGUGAGCUGUCUUAGACCAUACUUACUCAUUCACCAGAUGAAUUCCACCUAGUGACUUCAGUUUAUAUCACGUGAAGAAGAAAAAUUGCCAAC